UGGGGAAUAUUGCACAAUGGGCGCAAGCCUGAUGCAGCCAUGCCGCGUGUGUGAAGAAGGCCUUCGGGUUGUAAAGCACUUUUGUCCGGAAAGAAAUGGCUCUGGUUAAUACCUGGGGUCGAUGACGGUACCGGAAGAAUAAGGACCGGCUAACUACGUGCCAGCAGCCGCGGUAAUACGUAGGGUCCAAGCGUUAAUCGGAAUUACUGGGCGUAAAGCGUGCGCAGGCGGUUGUGCAAGACCGAUGUGAAAUCCCCGAGCUUAACUUGGGAAUUGCAUUGGUGACUGCACGGCUAGAGUGUGUCAGAGGGGGGUAGAAUUCCACGUGUAGCAGUGAAAUGCGUAGAGAUGUGGAGGAAUACCGAUGGCGAAGGCAGCCCCCUGGGAUAACACUGACGCUCAUGCACGAAAGCGUGGGGAGCAAACAGGAUUAGAUACCCUGGUAGUCCACGCCCUAAACGAUGUCAACUAGUUGUUGGGGAUUCAUUUCCUUAGUAAACGUAGCUAACGCGUGAAAGUUGACCCGCCCUGGGGAGUACGGUCGCAA
rnacentral:rRNA from 1 species